GUAGGUGGCAAGCGUUGUCCGGAAUUAUUGGGCGUAAAGCGCGCGCAGGCGGGUUCUUUAAGUCUGAUGUGAAAGCCCACGGGCUCAACCGUGGAGGGUCAUUGGAAACUGGAGAACUUGAGUACAGAAGAGGAAAGCGGAAUUCCACGUGUAGCGGUGAAAUGCGUAGAGAUGUGGAGGAACACCAGUGGCGAAGGCGGCUUUCUGGUCUGUAACUGACGCUGAGGCGCGAAAGCGUGGGGAGCAAACAGGAUUAGAUACCCUGGUAGUCCACGCCGUAAACGAUGAGUGCUAGGUGUUAGGGGGUUUCCGCCCCUUAGUGCUGCAGCUAACGCAUUAAGCACUCCGCCUGGGGAGUACGGCCGCAAGGCUG
rnacentral:rRNA from 1 species